UCUCCCAACCCUCGUACCAGUG
rnacentral:miRNA from 1 species